CAGACCCAAAUUUUUGUACAUUUUCUUCCACCAGUACAGAAAAACAGAUCUGGAUUAGGACUGAGCACUGUUACAAAGAAACCUCCUAGAUGGCCUGCGUGACUCACUUCCUAAAAUGCUGGGUGACUAGAAGGUAUCAGCCUGCUUCUAUAGAAGUGAAUUUCCUAAGAUCAUGCUCCAGCUAAAACUGCAUAACACAGGAAGUAAUAAAAUAUUGCAAGUAUGCUGUAGAAAUACCAACUGCUGGAAGGCAAGAUCUUUCUGGAUCAGGAAUAACAUCCUCAUAAAGACAGAAGGUAAAAC
rnacentral:lncRNA from 1 species